UAUCAGUUAGGUUUAUGCGCGUAGCUACAUGCUGCUGUGGGUUGCAGGGUCAAAGUAGCCUACCACUACCAGAGCUUCUAUAUCUUCGUUUGCAAAUUGUGGCUGCAGGUUUCUUAAAAACUCAGGUUGAGGGUUGGAAGCACAUAUGGGUACGUCGGCAUCACUGUAUCAAAUUCGGAGUGCCUCUGAAUCUUCUCAAUCUCAGGUGUGAACACAGACCUUGCACGUCACACUCUGCCUAUUUUUCUCACGUUUCAAGAUCAGCCUCUCUCUUGAACACUCGGAUUUGUACGGAAUCAAGAGGCUAGCUACAGGUAACAAAGUUCCAGAACCAAAGACCUUUUGUUUCUUCAUGGAGAAUUGUAUGCUACUGGCCUACCUUUCAUUAUUAAAGAUUGUUUGUCCUGACUGUCUCUCUCUAACAAAUUCGGAGUGCCUCUGAAUCUUCUCAAUCUCAGGUGUGAACACAGACCUUACACGUCACACUCUGCCUAUUUUUCUCACGUUUCAAGAUCAGCCUCUCUCUUGAACACUCGGAUUUGUACGGAAUCAAGAGGCUAGCUACAGGAUGCCUCAUCUACAAUCUGAUCCGAGGGAAGCUCUUCUGUAACAUACAGACUGCGGUGGUCCACGUCAGUCAGUGUGCUGUGCUGGUCAGAGCCUCAGAGGGAGGGAAGAUGCACGCAGGUCGUGAUCAAUCUUCCAUCUGCGUUCUAGCACUCCUGAACAGCUCUGGAAAGAGAUGUGCAGAUUAUACUUGCAACCCGAUCUGUCACCGAUGAGAAGAACCAAGACGAUACACGUCAGCGUCAGACACGCUGACUGCAAAAGAAGGGCACGGCAGUACAAGCUGGAGAGGACACGAACGGCUGUUAGCUCCAGUCAGCUGCUUAACCAGUAAGCAUUAUCUGUAUUAAGAGAUGACGGCGGAUAAAUUACUGAUGAGAACGGCAUCUAUCAAGUGUUCUUCUAGAGGACGCCAUGCAUAUCUGAGGCAUAUCCAUCCAUAAGCAGGUACGGUGUCGUCAACUUCCUGCUUAUAAAACUGAUGAUCUGACGCUCUCCGGAAUACAUUUAUAUGAGCAAGGUCAAUGCUCACUUUGUCAUGGUGUCCGAUAAGAUUCGGAGAAAAUCCUGCGGCUUCUGUUUGACCUGUUGCAUCUAUCAGUGAGCCGUCGCUGGACAUGCCUGCUGCUCCGGCAUCCGGAAUACAUACUGCCGAUGCAUCGAUCAGCAGGCCGGGAAAUAAGUUCACGAACCGGGGAUUCGUCUGAUCGAGCACAAAUAGCUGAGCAGGCGGAAGAAAUUCACGAUCUUUUGAGAAGAGCUUCGGUUGUGCAAACCCUGGCCGGUGGCCGCCAAAAUGGAGAUUAGCAGGGA